AACGAACGCUGGCGGCAGGCUUAACACAUGCAAGUCGAACGCCCCGCAAGGGGAGUGGCCGACGGGUGAGUAACGCGUGGGAACAUACCCUUUUCUACGGAAUAGCUCUGGGAAACUGGAAUUAAUACCGUAUACGCCCUACGGGGGAAAGAUUUAUCGGGGAAGGAUUGGCCCGCGUUGGAUUAGCUAGUUGGUGGGGUAAAGGCCUACCAAGGCGACGAUCCAUAGCUGGUCUGAGAGGAUGAUCAGCCACAUUGGGACUGAGACACGGCCCAAACUCCUACGGGAGGCAGCAGUGGGGAAUAUUGGACAAUGGGCGCAAGCCUGAUCCAGCCAUGCCGCGUGAGUGAUGAAGGCCUUAGGGUUGUAAAGCUCUUUCACCGAUGAAGAUAAUGACGGUAGUCGGAGAAGAAGCCCCGGCUAACUUCGUG
rnacentral:rRNA from 1 species